rnacentral:rRNA from 2 species
UAUUAACUGGAGGAAGGUGGGGAUGACGUCAAAUCAUCAUGCCCCUUAUGACCUGGGCUACACACGUGCUACAAUGGACGGUACAACGAGUCGCGAAGUCGUGAGGCUAAGCUAAUCUCUUAAAGCCGUUCUCAGUUCGGAUUGUAGGCUGCAACUCGCCUACAUGAAGUUGGAAUCGCUAGUAAUCGCGGAUCAGCAUGCCGCGGUGAAUACGUUCCCGGGCCUUGUACACACCGCCCGUCACACCAUGAGAGUUUGUAACACCCGUGCCGGUGAGAUAACCUUCGGGAGUCAGCCGUCUAAGGUGGGACAGAUGAUUAGGGUGAAGACGAAGUAGUGUCCUGCCAA